rnacentral:rRNA from 1 species
CAGGCCUAACACAUGCAAGUCGAGCGCUUGGGGUGUUCCCUUACGGGAAACCCCCUGGAGCGGCGGACGGGUGAGUAACACGUAGGCAACCUGCCUGUAAGAUCGGGAUAACUACCGGAAACGGUAGCUAAGACCGGAUAGCUGGUUUCUCCGCAUGGGGGAAUCAUGAAACACGGGGCAACCUGUGGCUUACGGAUGGGCCUGCGGCGCAUUAGCUAGUUGGUGGGGUAAUGGCCCACCAAGGCGACGAUGCGUAGCCGACCUGAGAGGGUGAUCGGCCACACUGGGACUGAGACACGGCCCAGACUCCUACGGGAGGCAGCAGUAGGGAAUCUUCCGCAAUGGGCGCAAGCCUGACGGAGCAACGCCGCGUGAGUGAUGAAGGUUUUCGGAUCGUAAAGCUCUGUUGCCAAGGAAGAACGCCUCGGAGAGUAACUGCUCUGAGGGUGACGGUACUUGAGAAGAAAGCCCCGGCUAACUACGUGCCAGCAGCCGCGGUAAUACGUAGGGGGCAAGCGCUGUCCGGAAUUAUUGGGCGUAAAGCGCGCGCAGGCGGUCUUUUAAGUUUGGUGUUUAAGCCCGGGGCUCAACCCCGGUUCGCACUGAAAACUGGGAGACUUGAGUGCAGGAGAGGAAAGCGGAAUUCCACGUGUAGCGGUGAAAUGCGUAGAGAUGUGGAGGAACACCAGUGGCGAAGGCGGCUUUCUGGACUGUAACUGACGCUGGGGCGCGAAAGCGUGGGGAGCAAAC